CCGGGGGCACGCGGGGACCCCCGCGUCUGGGGGGGGGGCUGCCCCCCCCCGCCUGCGCGCCAGCCUGGCAGGGGGGCUGCGGGCGGCGGCGGCUGCUGCCAGCCGGGCGGGGGGGUGGGGGUGGUCCCAUGGGGCUUUGAUAAAAUAGCAGAGCGCGGCGCUCUGGGGGUGCACGAACCGCUCUGGGGGUGCACACACGGCUCUGGGGGUGCACGAGCCGCUCUGGGGGUGCACGAGCCCCUCUGGCCGUGCACAAACGGCUCUCGUGCUGCACGAGCCUCUCUGGUGGUGCACGAGCUGCUCAGGCCGUGCACAAACAGCUGUGGUUGGUGCACGAGCCGCUCUGGGGGUGCACAAACAGCUGUGGUUGGUGCACGAGCUGCUCUGGGGGUGCACGAGCCCCUCUGGCCGUGCACAAACGGCUCUCGUGCUGCACGAGCCUCUCUGGUGGUGCACGAGCCGCUCUGGGGGUGCACAAACAGCUCGGGUUGGUGCACGAGCCGCUCUGGGGGUGCACGAACUGCUCUGGUGCUGCACGAGCCGCUGUGGCCGUGCACACACGGCUCUGGUUGGUGCACGAGGCUCUGUGGUGCUGCACGAGCUGCUCUGGGCGUGCACAAACAGCUCUGGGCGUGCACGAGCUGCUCUGAGGGUGCACGAACACCUCUGGGGAUGCACGAGGCUCUGUAGUGCUGCACGAGCUGCUCUGGGCGUGCACAAACAGCUCUGGGGGUGCACGAACCACUCUGGGGGUGCACAAACAGUUCUGGUUGGUGCACGAACCACUCUGGGGGUGCACGAACUGCUCUGGCCAUGCACGAACCACUCUGGGGGUGCACGAACUGCUCUGGCCAUGCACGAACCACUCUGGGGGUGCACAAACAGUUCUGGGGGUGCACGAACUGCUCUGGCCAUGCACGAACCACUCUGGGGGUGCACAAACAGUUCUGGGGGUGCACGAACUGCUCUGGCCAUGCACGAACCACUCUGGGGGUGCACAAACAGCUCUGGGGGUGCAUGAACAGCUCUGGGGGUGCACAAACCGCUCUGGCCGUGCACAAAUCAAUGUUACGGUGCGCACACCCUUCUGGGGGUGCACAGAUCAAUGUAAUGGUGUACAAACCAUUUUGGGGGUGCACAAAUAAUUGUGAAGGUGCACAGACCCUUCUGGGAGUGCACAAACUGUGCUCGUAGUGCACAAACAGUUCUGGGGGUGCACAAACUGCUCCGAUGGUGCACGAACCGUGCUGGCAGCGCACAGACUGGGCUUAUAGUGCACAAACUGGUCAGGGGGUGCCCAAACCUCCUUUCUCUGGAGCCCGUGAAGCCACCGACACCCCCAUUUCUCACUGGGAAUAAUGGUUCAGCGAGAGCACUCACCUGCUCACCACGCUUCUGGCUGAGCUCCUGGAAGUCAAGCCGAGUCUUCUCCUGCUCCCGGUGGAUUCUGACCAGAACGUCCAGUUUGGACACGUUCGCAGGUCCAGGCACAUGCCGUGAGGACAUCCAGGAUGGAUGGCACUGCGUGGGAUGUGGAUCUAUGGAGCUGCGAUGGGCUCCGUGGGUGCAGGUCAUCCAGAUGGGACAGGCACGCUGGGAUGCUUUGGGUGCCACAGGUAAUGUGGGCAGUCAGGAGGCUUAGGGGCACAUUUAAGGGACAGUGUACACAGACAAUAUGGCUUACUUUUUCUACCAUAUUUGGCAUCAAUUGGUCCUCAAUGGCUGCCUCGGUGGCCAGAGCGCCAAGUUCAGUGAGGCUCUGAGGCCGGAUCCGUUCCUGAACGAACCCUGUGACCGCCGCUGUGACCUGGCUGCGUGUUUCAUCGCACGCCCCGGCGCAGAUGUUCCUUCGACACCUUCCAGAUGAAGAGGAGACGAGCAGGAGCAGCAUGUCCCGUGAGGGCGGACGAAGUCACAGAUGAUGGCGCAAAGUCCCCAACCCCGGCGCGGAGGACGGGCCACGGUGCCCCGGUCCCCCGGCAGGCCGGUGACAGCCACAGCUCCACCACCGUGGCGGAUCUCACAGUUUUGAGUGUGCCACGGAAUUUUGUGUGGACGCUUCACAAGUGCAGAUGUUGUGCGGACCGAGGGGGCUGCUGACAGUUGGCUCUUUUACCACCUCGGAAGACAUGUGAAGCAAUUUGGAACGGUGUGCUGUGAGCUGAAGUGCUCUGUUAACAUGCUGCUUCAACGCACAAGGGUGUUCUCUGCCCUCAGAGCUGGGGAGCGGAGCCGCGGCUUGGGGAGCUGGCGGCGCGGCGGGGGCCCCGGCGUGUCCCCUCGGCCACCUGGGACCACCCGUCCACAUCCGCUGGUGACACAGCAGGUGGGCCGCCCUGAUCCCGUGGGGCAGGUGCUGGGGUGACGCUGGGGACGCGGGGACGGUCCGGAGCCGGCGACAUGUCCUGCCAGCAGGCUGAGUAAACUUCAACCGACCUGUGGAAGUCCAUGGAGCGGUGAACAACGCGGCUGGGCUGGAGAACAACCACCAGUUUUCCAGGGAUGCGCAAGGUGAAAUACGGGCGAGCACGUCGACCUGCCCUUGGGUACCAGUGCGUCAGGCAGCUGCCCUGCUGACCCCAUCCAAGCUCUGAAGCACGUUUCUGGUCUGUGUUCCCCCCGGGAGAAAACCUCAGGCAGCUGAUGCGGCGUCGGUGUCAGAGUGCUGACUGCACACAACUGUAAUGGUUUCCAUCCAUCUCGGGCAGCCUGGAAGCAGGCGCAGGAGCAUCCUGGCACAGCACAGCUGUCCCCGGGACAGGGACACCGGUGCGUUGGCUCCGCGGUGACGCGUGUGACCCCGAGGACACGUCCCGGGCUGCACUGUUAACUCCUCGCACACUCGCAUUUCCUCGCCCGCCUCUGCAGGUACUGGGCUCCAUCGCGAUUCACUGAACCGCAGGAACCAAAACACAGCCUCCCGUCGCUUGCUGUCCAGCUGCAGCGUGUGGACAUCAUACACCGCCGGCUCGCUUUCUACCACAAAACUGUUUGCAUGUUUAUUUUUAUAUUGAAAGAAAAGCUGGCAAACUUUUCAAUAUUUAUUUAGACUGCGCGUUAUUAAUGUUUGUAUAUUACCGUUACUCGGUUAAGAUCAAUCUCGUGUGUUGAUAAAGGGCUCAGUUUCUGGGUUUGUUUGGUUGGUUUCUCACCGGUGUCUAUUAGAAGCGGCAGAGUGACAGCCCCAAAGCGAGCAGAGCCACCACCAGGCACAGGAGCCCCAGGGUCUCAGCCCUCGACCCGCUACCAGAGCCCGGAUUUGCUGUGACUCUGUGCAGCGGAGGAUUAAUGGAAUGAAUCACCUUACCUCCCCCUAAGAUUUGCCUAGGCAUGUGAUUUGUGUCUGCUAAGCUGGUAUAAUGAUGAACAAUCCUUUUUAUUAACGUGGGUAAAAAUAGAAGCUGCAGCAAGACCUUACAUAAACCAGAGGUAACACGUGCCAGCUCCUGCCCAAAUCCCCCCGGGAGCUGUUUCGGUCUAUGAGACGUUGGCAUCAAACAAGCAAGUCGACUGUUGAGAAAACAGGAAAACACGGUGUAAAGGCGCUCUGGGGCUUUCCUUCCCCUGUGUCCCACAAAAUAAUGUCAUAUUAAUACCUGGGGUGCGUGUGGGUGUGGGAGUGUUGCACGCACGUGGGCACCCACACACGUGCACUCACGUGUGCACACACAUAUGCACACACACGCAUGCACUGUAACAUGAACAUCAGGAGCUCACGUCACGAGUGAAGAACAUGCACGCUAGUUUGUGCAGAUUAACGCCGUGGAGAACACCCAUCCCUGGUGAAAUACCUUUUCAAACGCUUUCUCACUGACCUGAAUGAGCCGCUCCCGAGAUACGACUGACUGAACCAACUUAGAAAAGGUUCCCUUUCGAAAAACAUCAUAUUCGAAAACCUGACAGCUUUUUGUUCAGUCUUGCCUGCUCUUAGGAAGUUUAAAGACCAAAUUAGCAAUGCAAUCAUGAGAAAAAGAAUCGGAGGCUUCUCCAAGCUGUCAAGUGCGUGUUGCUGGAUGAUUAAUUGGCAGCGCUGCGGCCAAGCCCUGGGUCCUGCUAAAGGCCAUGCCCCUUGACUCGCACCUGCCACUGUGCGCCUGAUUGCGGAAAAUGGAUGGCUUCACUCCUUUUGCUUUUUUUCCUUUGGUUGCAGCUGUUAAACUGCUCUAAGGAAAUCUUAUUUAUCUAGAACAGAAACUUGAACUUCUUCUCUAAUCUCAGGAGGAUGAAAUGAAUGUAAUUCUCCGUCUCAGGCUGACUUAUGGAAGCGAUAUUUUAGGAUGUGUAGGAAAGCUGUAAUAAUUGGACGUGACUUUGCGUUCCUUGUAUGUGAGCCGGGAUGUGUCUCCGCUCUCGUGGCCUGUGCGGGAUGCUGUCGGUCCGUGGGUGUCUGCCCCCGUGGCCAGCGCCGUGCCCGCUCCCGCGCCACAGCUGCUGCAGCUUCAGUUGCAGAACAAGGGAAUACAGAAUAUCGGGUGUCAUGUGUAGUGAUUUGCUAACGGGGGAAGGCAGCAAAUAGGAGGAACAAGUCCUCCGAGCUGCCCAAGGAAACGCAAGCGAUUCCAAAGGCUUUGUUGGGCCAAUAAAUAUUUACAGAAGUGUUCGGGGUGUGCGAGGGCUGUGUUCAGACUCCAUGUCCUUCAUAACAAAAAGAAACUCCUUUUCCCUGCGCUGGACGUGAUCCUGGGCUGUCGCCCACACACUGAAAUGCCACGUUACCUCCCUUUGUGCUUUAACUUCAAGCCUGUCCCCAGAUCCUGCCAUGGGGUAUGCGGAAAAUGAGCCAAACAAAAGGGAAGAGACCGCAUGCAAACGAAGCAUCCCAAAUAAUCCUGCUAUUUUAGAUGAAACAAAGCCAGCUCUUUCUACACACGGUGAGCCAACAAAGCAUUAAUUUGCCAUCAUUAUCUCCAUACCAACUGCCAGGCAAAAGUGAGGAAAGGGAUGGAACCUGCUCAGAAACUCGCAAUCCAAGACCCUACGUGCACAAAUGCUGGAGAAUGAAGAGGCCGUGCCCUCGGUGGGGUGGCGGUGCCACCAAAGGGUGGACGUUGGACUAGAGCAGGUACAAAGUCCAGUACACAGCACAGUCCCUGUAAGUGCUGCAGUGAAUUCAUGAUGACAUGGCUAUCCAGCUUUAGGUCUUUUCUCUAACAGGAACGGUUAUUCACCAUAUUUGAGCUAUAAUAACUUACUGAGCGAUACUUUAACAUCUGAAAAUACUGUUUGAAGAACACGGUGUCAGAAUCAAAGCAGGUUUAGGGUGACGGAAGUGAAAUACAUGUGUACAGUGAACAGAAAACCACAAGUCACCCUGCUCCCCAGUAAUAUUUUACCGUGCCAGGGACACCUGACAUAUAGAUGGGCACAAGGUUUUAGCGGCUGCAAAAGGCCCCGCUUAUAAAACAGGCUUUUCACCUCUAGGAGAUGUUUUGCAGCAUUUCUCGACUCCCAGGAGACUCAGGUACUUCUUGUUUACCCACUGAAAUCUCAGACCCUCCUGGAUACCAGGAGUAAGGAAGCUGGGACUUUAAGAACAGAGCCUCAUAUUGUGAGGCUUGCAGUCAUCUGGGAGAGCUGGAGACACUUCUGCUCUAUAAAUAACCCCCCGGUGGAGCCCAUCUGCAGCUCCCGGCUGGAAACCCCCGGGGACACGAACCGCAACAGCCUCGCCAUGCUCUGUGUGCUUAACGUGAGGAAAACUCCAAGGUAGGAUCCUUUCGUCACCCCGGACAGAAAUUGCCCCUUAUGCUUAUUUGCCCUUAAUGGGCAUUUUCUUAACAAAUGGGGCUUUUUCCUCAGAAAACAGCAGCUGAAUUGCAUAACGUGGAUGUGAGCAUGUGAGUGACUAACGGUGUAAGUUGACUCCCUCAGGGUCAAAGCAUAAUGACUGUCACUGGAGCUGAAAUAGAGAUAUUGGCUGGAUUCAGAGGCAGCUACCCCUUGGUGGGAUGAGAAGAGAACACGACGUGAAGGCUGCAUAAUGCUUUGUUCAGGCUGAGCUGUGGGUAGCAUCAUUUCUGUACGUGUCCCAGGAAGUCCUGCCAUUCGGAAGUUGCUUUGAGACCUUUGGGGAGAGGUGCCUCUAGGGACACGUAACAGCAGAGAUAACCCUGUGCUCCCCAAACCGUGCUGAGACGGCCUGCAGUUACUGUUCCUGAAGAGCACGUACUCUUCCUUCCUCGCACGCGGGGUAACGUUUCAAUCCCGCUCAUAACGCAGUGCAACAAAUAGAGAAACAAAUAAUGGAGAAGUUAACGUUGGUCCUUUAGAAGUCAAUUUCUGUGUGCGUUUAACCAUAAAAGCAACAUCUGCUCUGCUAAAUACAGGUGUUUUAUAUCCUUGUCAUUAAUUGGAGGGGACAUUAUGUCAUCAUACGUCAACAGUUAGAGUUGGUUGGAGUGCCACUUACCUCAGGUGCUAUCAUUCAUCAGACCCUCCCGUCCGGGUGCCGGACUGCCAGCGAAUGGCGAGUGAAACAAACCGAGCGUGACAAAAGUAAAGCCUUGAAUGGAUUUCCUUGCCCAGAAUCACGCCAAGUCAAGUAUCUUAUUAAGUUCAAGAGAAUUACGUUUCACAUGCUUCAGCGAGAGACAUGUACCCUUUAGAAAAUAAUAAUGAACUGCCGUUUUUUUCGCAUUCAUUUACAUACCUUUGAUAAAUUACUGUAACCAGAUUAGGGAGAUAAAAUAACUAGUCUAUUAAUUACAAUGAUUAUUAUUUAAUAGAAAAUGGGAUUCUGGGCAACGUGUAUGGUAAAAGAAAGCUUAGCAAUGCAUUAUAUGGAUGUGGUAUUUUAUCUUAAAGAGUAAGAUAAGUGUCCAGCUCUUUCUGCAAUCUAAAGAAUAUGUUCAUUACCUGUGCAAGAUUUAUAAGUAUAAUUGAGUGUAAUAUUUUAAAACUAUUUGCCUUAUUUCGUCGGACAUGGAGGACAAGGCAGAGCUGGUUCAUUCAUUAAACUGUGUAAAUUCCUCUGCAAAGUUAUCUAACAAGGCUUCCAUUUGUAAGGAAAUUACUUUCUUAUUUAAAAAGUUUGCAAGAUGAUCUUAUGAUAGUCCUGCUUUAAUUUAAGCCGGUCUGUGCAUGUGCAGUUGUCUACAUGUGUCUUUUCAUUUUAUGUAUGUCUCAUGUAGAUCCUAUUACAUCUAAUGCAUGUGUGUGUGUGUAUACACAUAUUAAAUCCAUAUACAUAUUUCUAUGCAUAUGUACACGUGUACCUGCCAAUACAGGUAUGACCAUGCAAUAAGUGACGAGCGCUGUCAGGCUGCUCUCUGCACACAGGUUUUGUGUGCAGUUUUUCAAGGGUUUCUUGGUGCUGGUUGUGGUUUUCACAGUGGAAACAGCUCCAGCACCCUCGUCCCUCUGCCUGUGCCACGCUGCAGGAUGGAUGCUCUCCCGGGUCCCUGCUGUGGCAUCAUUUGCUACCCCACCUGUGCUGCUGGGACAGGCUCAGCCUGACAUGCAUGCAGUUCUUGCGGUGUGUUUUUAAGCAAAGAACAGAAAUCACAGACUUCUUGUGAUCAAUGCCACUGCGGAAGUGAGCAAACUCCAGCCAGACCACGAAGGAGCUCUGCGUUAGCUCGAGAGCAUCUCCCACCAGACACGGGGAGCGUGCGAGGAAACGACGUAGUCUAGGGCGUUUUUACAAUAGACACUGAUAACAUGAAUACACCAGUCAUCAUCAGUUCAUUUAAUUACAUAUAUUGAAAUCAACUAUCCCUUCUAUCCCGGAAGGCUUGUGGGGGUGAAUUAGGGAUCUGAUCUGCUUCUCUCUUACUAUGGAGUAAAUGAGGAGCAACUCUCCUGAAGUAGAUACAAAGCCGAUUAAAAAGAGAUGACAGUCACCCCUAAGUACUCAACCCGUGCCUAAAGCUUCUGAGCAGCAUCUCUCAACAGGUCCCAUACACCCCAGCAGGAUACACUUACUGAGAUGAACUUUUCCAAAAGAGGGGUCAUUUGAAGCAGCCCGGUCACACAGAGCCUUACCUGCGGCCUGGGAGGCAGGGACAGAUGAGUGGUGACAUGUGCGCCGUGCGCAGCGGUGGCAGCGGAGCCCCAGUGCCGUGUGGAGCACCAGACGUGUCUGGCACAGUUACCUGUGCGCACACUGAUCCUCUCGCCCCAGCCACUGGGACCCCCGAGACCCCACAGCCACCGGCCCUGCGCCCAGGGUGAGGGACAGAUAGA